AUUGAACGCUGGCGGCAGGCCUAACACAUGCAAGUCGAGCGAGCGGCGGACGGGUGAGUAAUGUAUGGGGACUGCCCGAUAGAGGGGGAUAAAUACUGGAAACGGUGGCGAAUACCGCAUACUAACGGAUAACCCAUAUGGGAUUAGCGAGUAGGUGGGGUAAAGGCUCACCUAGGCGACGAUCCCGAGCUGGUCUGAGAGGAGGAUCAGCCACACUGGGCAUGAGACACGGCCCAGACUCCUACGGAGGCAGCAGUGGGGAAUAUUGCACAAUGGGCGCAAGCCUUAUGCAGCCAUGCCGCGUGUAUGAAUAAGGCCUUAGGGUUGUAAAGUACUUUCAGCGGGGAGGCGUUACCCGCAGAAGAAGCACCGGCUAACUCCGUGCCAGCCGCCGCGGUAAUAC
rnacentral:rRNA from 1 species